CGGGCGGUGUGUACGUAUUCUAGAGCGUUUUUUAUUUAAUAUUUCUUUAGAAAAUUACUAUUGAAUCCUUUUUCUUUUUACUUUUCAUGUAAAUUUCCUCUGUUUCUAAGUAGGGUAGCUCAUAAUUCCCCUGUUUAUUGGCUGCGUCUUGAUCUGGCGUUUGGAAAUUUUUCUUUUCGCUAACGUUCUUAAAGGUUAGCUGACGACGAAAAUAUACAGGCUGUUGGUUUUUCUUAAACAGGUAAGGUGUCUUGUGGAUUAUCAAUUUGAAAACAAGCUCCUCCAAGGAGAUUUAGAAAACCGCCAAGUUCUUUGAGUUUCUAAGGUUUAUACUACUCUGGUGUUUGUGUUAGUUGUUUUAAGGUAUAGU
rnacentral:rRNA from 1 species